GACGUAGGGCGCGAGCGUUGUCCGGAUUUAUUGGGCGUAAAGAGCUCGUAGGCGGCUUGUCGCGUCGACUGUGAAAUCCCGCGGCUCAACUGCGGGUCUGCAGUCGAUACGGGCAGGCUAGAGUUCGGUAGGGGAGACUGGAAUUCCUGGUGUAGCGGUGAAAUGCGCAGAUAUCAGGAGGAACACCGGUGGCGAAGGCGGGGUCUCUGGGCCGAUACUGACGCUGAGGAGCGAAAGCGUGGGGAGCGAACAGG
rnacentral:rRNA from 1 species